rnacentral:rRNA from 1 species
CCUACGGGGGGCAGCAGUGGGGAAUAUUGCACAAUGGGGGAAACCCUGAUGCAGCGACGCCGCGUGAAGGAAGAAGUAUUUCGGUAUGUAAACUUCUAUCAGCAGGGAAGAAAAUGACGGUACGUGACUAAGAAGCCACGGCUAACUACGUGACAGCAGCCGCGGUAACACGUAGGGGGCAAGCGUUAUACGGAUUUACUGGGUGUAAAGGGAGCGUAGGCGGUUUAGAAAGUCAGAAGUGAAAGUCCGGGGCUCAACUCCGGGACUGCAUUUGAAACUGUUGAACUAGAUUGCAGGAGAGGUAUGUGGAAUUCCUAGUGUAGCGGUGAAAUGCUUAGAUAUUAGGAAGAACACCAGUUGCGAAGGCAGCUUACUGGACUGUAAAUGACGCUGAGGCUCGAAAGCGUGGGGAGCAAACAGGAUUAGAUACCCUAGUAGUC